rnacentral:pre_miRNA from 1 species
UGUGGGUGUUUGCUUUUUCGGUGAAGUUGUCUUCCGUAGCUUCUUCUUCACCGGGUUAACAUCUACAGA